rnacentral:rRNA from 1 species
UUGACCUCGGAUCAGUAGGAA